GGUGGAUGCCUUGGCAGUCAGAGGCGAUGAAGGACGUAGUAACUUGCGAUAAGCCCAGAUUAGGUAGUAACAACCAUUUGAGUCUGGGAUUUCCGAAUGGGGAAACCCACUUACAUAAGUAAGUAUCCUUACCUGAAUACAUAGGGUAAGGAGGCGAACCGGGGGAACUGAAACAUCUAAGUACCCCGAGGAAAAGAAAUCAACC
rnacentral:rRNA from 1 species